GAAUGAAAAAUACCUAUCAGCUCAGUAGUAGAUGGCGGAUUCCACUGAGGCGGAGAAACUCCCCAAAAACCCUAGCUCCCUAUCAUCUCCUUCAUUCGCUAUAAGUACCAGCAGUCUCCCAGUAUUAUCUAUGCCCUUCUCAAACUUAGUUUUUAGCAUCUCUCAUUCUCCAUUUGUAUAGUUGGGUAACCCAAAGUUCCAAUCUUUGUUUCUAUUUUGAUUUGAUGUUUAGAAUUGUAUUGUUUUUGGGGUUUAUCUGUAAAUGUAAAUCUUCCUGUUUGGGGCCGAUGAUUAAAGUUUUCAAUUGACAAGCAUAUGUCUGAAUUUGUCUUAUGUUGUUAACAUUAAUCUUCUCUAUGAGGUCGCCUUUCUGCUCCCAAAUUUUCUUAGUUUUAAUUUUUCUUCUAAAAGAUAACAACUUUCGCAGUUUUAUUUUUAAUUUUCUUUUAUAAUUUUUCUAACAAUUAUUUAUAAAUGCCAAUGAUGAUUAUAGUGGAAAUGUGUUCAUGAUAAGUCCUGAUUACAACAACACUACUGCCUUCCUUCUGAGGCAUUUAAAAAAAAAUAUCUUAUUGCAAAUGGUUUUGCAAAGUUUUUUGAAUGAUUUUAUUUCUGUUUUUUUUUGUUUUGUUUGAAAACCCUAUUCUUUUUGUGCUAGAAAAGAGUCAUGUGAUGAUUUUUUGCAUAGUUCAAAUGAUAAUCUUUGUGAUUAAACAAAUUUGUCUUUCGCUCCUAUCUGAUGACUCAACUUCUUUUAUUUUGUAUUUUUACAUUUUGUAAAAGAUUUUAUAUGUUUUGAACUACUUGUGUGUGAUUAAUUUCUUGUAGGUUAGGUUUUUAAUGAAGUUGUUGGACUGUGAUGAUUUGUGAUUUGGUCUCGUUCGUCGUAAUUGUGUUGAACCACAUUGACGACCAUCCUGAUAUAUCACCACCCAUAAACUGAGUCCACCAAUUAAUAUAGUCUUUAUUUAUAUCUUCCAGGGAUGAGUACUUCCUAUGUGCUUGAGACAUUGUCCUUGAUUGCUGCACUAAUCCUCUAAGAAGUUCUGAGCACUCAAGGUUUUAAUUUUCCUAUUCUUUCUUUUAUUUUAUAUCUUGUAAAAUUUAUGUAUACUGAGGUGAGGUGACGAUAGAAUUCAUGUCUGUCAAUCCACUGAUACAUUUGUGUGAUGUUAUACAUGAAUCCUGACAGGUUCUGAUCACUUCAUUUCCAGUAUUUGUGCUUUAUGUGGCUUUUCUGUUUUCCAUAGAUGCUCACUUUGUAGAAUGAAAAAUAUCCAUUUCCUCAAUAGGAGAUGUUGGAUUCUAUUGAGGCUGAGAAACUCCCUGACACCCUAGCUCCUUAUCACCACCUCCUUAGCUACAAGUACCUGCAUCCUCCAAUUAUUUGUCUGUCUUUCUUGAACAUUAGGUUUUGUUGUGUCUUUUUCUCCCUUUGUGUUAAUUGUGUAUUUGGGUAAACCAAAGUGUCAAUCUUUGUUUCUAUUUUAAUUUUGGUUUGAUUAUUAGAAUGUAUAUGUUUGAGUUUAUAAAUUUUCAGAUUUGGGGCUGAUGAUUAAAGUAUUUAAUUGACAAGCAUAUGUCUGAAUUUUCUUACGUUGAUAAUUCUAAUCUUCUCUAUGAAGCCACCUUUCUGUUUUCAAAUUUUCUUAGUUUUGAUCUUUUGUUUAAAAAGAUUACAGCUUUCUGUGUUUUUGACUUUUUUCCAAUUGUUAUUUAUUUAUUCCAACGAUGAGUGAAGUUGAAUUGUGUUUAUGGGAAAUCAUGUUUACAACAAUACUACUGCCUUUCUUGAGUCAUAUUAAUAAUUUUAUUUAUUUUUGAAUGUAUUGGGAAACUCAUUUGAAAUAGUUUUUUCUGUUUUUUUUUUGAAAGUUAAUCUUUUCAUGGUAAAAGGAGUCAUAUGAUGAUUUUGUGCAUAGUUCAAAUGAAAUCUUUGUGAUUAAAUAAAUGUCUUUCGCUCCUAUCUGAUGACUCAACCUUUUUUUGUUGUUCCUUUUACAUUUUUGAAGUACUUGGUUUGUUCUUAAUUGCUUUUAGGUUAGCUUUGUUUUUUAUUAGGAUUGUGAUGAUUAGUUAUUUCUUGGUCUAUCUUGUAGUAAUUGUGUUGAACCACAUUGAUGACAAUACUUAUAUAUCAACACCCAUAAAUUGAGUCCAGCGAUUGAUCUAGUCUUUCCUAUGCAUGUGUGCACAUGUUUUUCUACAUGUGUGAUAGGAUUUACAUUUAAACAUUUGUGUUACUUAUUUUGAAUAUUCAUUGUGAUUUUAAUGUGUUUUGCCUUUUGCAUUUUCUGAUGUGGUUGGAAAUGACAUUUCACCAUGGUUAAAUGUUAAAAACAUUGUAAAAUUGCAGUAUGCAACCAUUUGGGCAUCUUCAAUGAGUCUUCAGUUUGGAGAUAGAAAAAAUAAUGAGCUUGUAAGGCAUGCACAUCUACAAAGGUGUUGAAGUAAAUUGAUCCUGAUUCCAACCUUAGUAUUUAUAAAAUUUAAAAAUGGAGGUAAUCCAAUCUAAGAUAGAGGCAUGGAGUCAUACCACUUUUGCCUUCAUCUCUGUUUUUAAGUUCUUUAAAUGUUGGGGUUGCCUUUGAUUUCAAUGCUAUUUUUGGAUGUGCUAAGGAAAAAUCUAAUUCAUUAAUCAUAGAUUGAAACGUUUACAACAUAGUUGAUGGACUUGUAAGCCAUUCCUUAUAGUCUCUGACAUAGAAACACCUUUCCUAGCUAUGCUACAUAAAACUUGAUUUGUUGAUUUUUUCACUAAUUUGAAGUUGGGGUCCUUAAAGCUUCUAUAUAUAUAUGUGUGUGUGUGUAUAUAUAUAUGUAUAUAUAUCUAGGGUUUAUUUAUGGCAAUAUUCUAUUUUGGAAAAAUUAUUGGGCUUACGAAAUUUAUAAAUCAUUUGGAAUUUCUUAAACACUCAGUUUAAUUUGUAAGCUUAAUAAUUUUUCUGAGCCCCAAAAUACCUUAGUCCAAUUUUUAGCCUAAUUAUUAAAAAUUAAAUUUUGCCCUAAAUAAACCCUAGAAAGUCAUAUCUUCAAUCUAAAAUAGGCAGGUUCAAGGGUUAAACCCUAGAAAGUCAUCUUCAAUUUGAAAUUGGUAGGUUCUAGGGUUACUAUAUUGGUGUAAUUGGCCUCUGCUUCAGCUUCUGGAGGUGGGCCUUUGAUUUAAUAUUUCACACAUUUCUUAUUUAUCCACCGGUGGCUACAUUUAUGCCACCCUUUAGGAUGAACUCCAUCCUGUCAUAGUCUAGGUUUAAUGAAGUUGUUGGACUGUGAUGAUUUGUGAUUUGGUCUCGUUCGUUGUAAUUGUGUUGAAACACAUUGACGACCAUCCUGAUAUAUCACCACCCAUAAACUGAGUCCACCAAUUAAUAUAGCCAUUAUUUAUAUCUUCCAUGUGUGAUAGGAUUUACACUUCAACAUUCUUCUGAAUUAAUUUUGAAUGUCCAUUUUGAUUUUAAUGUUUAUCCCUUUCUGCAUGUUCUGAUUAUUUUGAAUGUGCAGGGAUGAGGAUAAUCUGAGUUUAAUUCUCACAGGUGAGGAUAAAUUCUCUUUGGGCCAUCUCCCGUGCCUCACGGAGUGAGUGGGGAUUAGUUGGGUUGGGUGGACUUGAACCGUAAGACGGAGAAAGACCUGGAAUAUAUUGUGGUUUCAUCAAUUAUUUAUUUAUUUAUUUUUGUCUAUCCUUAUUCUUGAGUUUUCAACAGGUUUUGCAUCAUAACCAUAUAUAUAUAUUCUCAACACCUGUUAGUGCAACCCGAAAGAAGAGAAAGAUACUUUGAAUGCAUGAUCAAAAGCAUAAAUCAUGGUUUGCGGUUUUUAAGACUCCAGUUUGACAAACAUGGGGUUGUAUAUGCCAGUAGCAUUCUGGCUUAUGGCCAGUCCAAUCAAGAAUAGGGCUCUGUUGUAGCAAAUGCAUAGUUGCUAAAGAUCCUUAUCCCUUCUAAUAAUCUAACUUUCAAAAAUGGGUUUUACUUUCACAUUAUUAAAUUUACAAUUCAUUUAUUAUUGAUAUGUACACUAUGCAUAAAAGGUAUGUGAGGCAGCUUUUGCUGUCAUUUGGUAGCAAAAGCUGCCAUUAGCAAGCUUGCAACAGAGCAAACUUUAUUCAUGUGUACAUGAAAAGAGAAUUUAUUUUUUAAUCCAAAUCAUCUAGCAAGGGGAGCCUUGGUUGGGAUGAGGACAAUGCACCAUUUGCUAAAUGAUGUGCAUGGGUUAGCAGGCUUGUUAAUGUCUGUUUUUGUUUCCAAAUGGUAACAAAAGUUGCCUCACAUGUACUUUUUCUUUUAAAAAAUUAUUUGAUACUUUAAAGUUAUAUAAAUGUGUGUGUGUGUGUAUAUAUAUAUAUAUAUAUAUAUAUAAUUGGGUCCACUUUGAAAGUUGAUUGGAUUUUGUAGGAUGUAGUGUCAAUAGGUAAAUGAAUUGCAAAUUUAGUGAUGUAAAAGUAGAAUUCAUUGUUUAAAGUGAGUAAUGCAGGGAGGUCAUUUGCAUUUGUACAAAAUCAAAUGUUUUCUAUUUUUUUCCCUAUGUGGAACUUCAUUUUUCUCUCCUUCAACUCAUUAGUUCCUAAUGGUGAAAACCCCAAUUGAAAACACUUUGAAAACCCCUAUUGGGAAUGCUUCUAUGGUUUUUAAUUUCCAAUAUUUUUAUUUUAUAUAUUUUAGAAAUGAUUUUGGUAUAUCAUGAUGUGAAUCCCAACAGGUGUUGAUAUUGUUUGAUCAUAAGAGUUCAUUUUUUGACACUAAUACUGUGUGAUGUCAUUUGUCAAACAUAAAUCCGACUGGUUCUUAUCACAUCAUUUCCAAUAGCAAUGCAUUCUGCAUCUUUUUUAUUUGUUGUCUAUCCAAUUGGAUUGAAACAACAGUAUGCGAUGUUGUUGAGAAGAUACAUUUUGAAACAUCAACAGUUGGAAGAAAUGAAUUUGAUAUGCUAAUGUUUGACUAUUAUACUAAACACAAUCUUCAAUCCCAAUAGUGUUGAUCCUAUUAUAUGGUUGCCUGUUUCACACACUCAGCUAGAUAAGCCACCAAUCUGCAGGAGUUGUGAAUACCAAUCUGCACGUGGAGUGGCCUCUCAAUUGCCAUUAAUAGGUUCAGUUUUAAAUCCACAGUUACUAAUCAGAAUAGCUUUAGCUGCUUUAUUCAUGCUUUUUGUGCAGUUCUUGAACUUUUUUGGUAUAUUCAGGCUUCUUAAGAUGAAGGUGCUUGACCCAUUCUUCGUGAUGAUUGCCUCUGUGCACUUUGUCUUUGCACUUUUCAUCCAUUUUGGUAUUCAAGGCGGGGCUUUGAUCAUUAUCUUGUAAGGUAUUGUAAGAGCCAUUUGUUUUUUCUUGGUAAACUCUUUGCAGGUCCUCUACUGGUUUUUCAUCUGUUCUGGGAAUCAAGACAGAGCUCUGAUCAUCAUUUAAGAUUCUCAGGCUCCCCAGUGUGGACGUAGCCUUUGGCAAGGAUGCUGAACGCAUGGUUACCGGGGGUUCAAUGCCGGACCUCAUGUCUUAAAACAUUUCCUCGCAUUAAUCCAUUUGGCCUGCUGAGUUCCAGGUGUUCAUAAGUAUGUGACCACAUCCGGUUUCACUCCAAAUUCUUCCAUCAAUGUUACACGAUUGUAAAAUUUGUAAUGAAAACACAUUCAAGAUUAAAGUGCAAUAAAUGUGAAGAGUAUGUUGUCUUUCUGUUUUCGAA